rnacentral:rRNA from 1 species
ACUCUUGGCAAUAGAUAUCUAAACUCAUGCAUUGAUGAAGAAUGUAGUGAAAUGUGAUACUUGGUGUGAAUUGUAGAAUCCCAUGAACCAUUGAGUCUUUGAACACAAGUUGCACCCAAGCCAUUAGGCCAAAGGCACACUUGCUUGGGUGUCAUGCAUCAUCAUACCCUCCAACCCCCUACCUAUCGAGCUCGGGUGAGAAGGAAAAUGGCCUCCUAUGAUCUUGUUGAUCAUAAUUGGCCAAAAAGUGAGUCUCUGGCAAUAAUAGCACCAUGACCAUGUGCCUUAUCUCUAGUGAUGCAUGCUUAUUGUCUAUCCAGACCCCAUGAAACCCCUUGUAUCACUCAUUUGAUGCUCGCAUAGUGACCCCAGGUCAGGCGAGAUUACCUGCUAAGUUUAAACAUAUUAAUAAGCAAAGAAAAAUAAACUUACUAGGUUUCCCCUAGUAAUGGCAAGUGAACCAAGAAUAAUCAAACUUGAUAAUCAGGUGCCCCUAGCAUUUGAAUUAUUAUUUGGAAAAGUGUCCUUAGUGAUGGAUCGAAGCCAAAGUCCCCUAGAAAGGGGAGACAGAGAGGGUGAGAGUCCUAAAUGGGUAGUAAAUUCUAUCCAAGGCUGAAUACAAGUGAAAACCCAAUAAUGAACAAGUAUCGCAAGGGAAAGAUGAAGUGGACUUUGAAAAGAGAGUCGAAGAGUACUUGAAAUUGUCAAGAAAGAAGUAGAUAGGGGCCGAUGAUACACCCUGAUUAGAUGUGGUAUGAUGAAAGCUGGUCUAUUGAUCAGCUCGAAGAAUGGAUUAACAUAGGUCAUAGUAGCGAUCCAAGCCCAAGCUUUUGGUAUGACCAUAGAGACAUCAUCGCAAUGAUCAUGGAAUGCAACAUGUGCCAUCUCGGCAUGCCUCAGCACUAGCAUGCUCUUAGCAUUGGCCUACGAGCUCCCUAUCCAGCCUGUCUUGAAACACGGACCAAGGAGUUGAUAUGUGUACAAGUCAACAAGCUAGAAAACUAGUAAAAUGCAAGGAAGUUGAUUGGCAAGAUCUCUUACAGUUGCACCAUUGACCAACCUUGAUCUUUUGAGAAGGUUUUAAGUGUUUGCAUGCUUAUUGGGACUCGAAAGAUAGUGAACUAUGCCUGAAUGGGGCAAAGCUAGAGGAAACUCUAGUAGAGGCCUACAACAAUAUUGACAUGCAAAUCAUUCAUCUGAAUUAGGUAUAGGGGUAAAAGACUAAUUGAAUCAUCUAGUAGUUGGUUCCCUUUGAAAUUUCUCUAAAGAUAAUUAGAGCCCUUAGUGAGUUCUAUUGGGUAAAGCCAAUGAUUAGAGGCAUCGGGGGCACAAUGCCCUUGAACUAUUCUCAAACUCUAAAUAGGUAGGAUGGUGCGACUGGUUUGUUGAGCUAUGCCAUGGAAUCGAGAGCCCCAAGUAGGCCAUUUUUGGUAUGCGAAAUUGGCAAUGCGAGAUGAAUAAAAAACUAGGUUACAGUGCCCAAUUACAUGCUAACCUUGAACCCACAAAAGGUGUUGGUCAAUGAAGACACCAGGACAAUGGUCAUGGAAGUCGAAAUCCACUAAAGAGUUUUAACAACUCACUUACUGAAUCAACUAGCCUUGGAAAUAGAUGGUGUUUAAACACAUAACCUAUUCCUGGUUGUUGAGGCAAAGGCCAGGCCCUAAUGAGUAAGGGAGUGUACCAGUUGCCAUAAAACCUAGGGUGCAAGCCCGAGUAGAGCAACCAUUGGUCCAGACCUUGGUGGUAGUAGCAAAUAUUCAAAUGAGAACUUUGAAGGCCAAAGAAGGGAAAGAUUCCAUGUGAAUGGCACCUGCACAUAGGUUAGUCUAUCCUAAGAGACAAGUAAAGCCCAUCCAACAGCAUGUCUAGUGCAAGCUUUGAAAGGGAGUUAGGUUAAAAUUCAUGAACUAGGAUGCAGCAGCUGAUAGCAACAUUAGGAAGUCCAAAGACAUCGAUGGGGGCCUCAGGAAGAGUUAUCUUUUUUGUUUAACAGCCUACCCACCCUAGAAAUAGCUCAAUCGGAGGUAGGGUCUAGUGGCCAGAAGAGCAUCGCAUGUCAAUGGUGUUUAGUGCACACUUGGCUGCUCUUGAAAAUCUAGAGGAUUAAGUGUUGACCAUGCCCGAUCAUACUUGUAACUGCAUAACGUCUCCAAGGUGAACAACCUCUAGUCGAUGGAACAAUGUAGGCAAAUGAAGUCGACAAAAAUGGAUCCAUAACCUUGAAAAGAGGAUUGGCUCUAUGGAUUGGCAUGGGGGUUCCCAUCUUGAACCCAUUGGUUGCUGAUGCACUGCUUGAGCUGCUCCCACAAUAAGAGUGAGUCACCACAUGUCGAUCGGGGGAUGGACUGGGAACGACUUAUUCGGCAGCCUUCCCCAAGCAUGGAAUAGUCAACUUAAAACUGGUACGAAUAAGGGGAAUCUAACUAUUUAAUUAAAACAAAAGCAUUGUGAUGGUCCCUACAAAUGCUCACAUAAUGUGAUUUUUACCCAGUGGUUUGAAUGUCAAAGUGAAGAAAUUCAACCAAGCAUAGGCAAACAAUGGGAGUAACUAUAACUCUCUUAAAGGAGCCAAGUGCCUUAUCAUCAAAUUAGUGAUGCACAUGAAUAAAUUAACGAGAUUCCUACUAUUCCUAUUUACUAUCUAGCAAAACCACAACCAAGGGAAUGAGCUUAGCAGAAUUAGUUUGGAAAAGAGACCUUGUUGAGCUUAACUCUAGUCUGACUUUUUGAA